GCGUCGUUAGCCCAGUGGUUAGGGUACUACCUUCCCAUUCUCCCGUGUGGCAGAGGUAGGGGUCGCGGGUUCGAGUAUGUGGGAUUGAAUGGUGUU